rnacentral:rRNA from 1 species
GACGAACGCUGGCGGCGUGCUUAACACAUGCAAGUCGAACGGAAAGGCCCUGCUUUUGUGGGGUGCUCGAGUGGCGAACGGGUGAGUAACACGUGAGUAACCUGCCCUUGACUAUGGGAUAACUUCAGGAAACUGGGGCUAAUACCGGAUAGGAGCUCCUGCUGCAUGGUGGGGGUUGGAAAGUUUCGACGGUUGGGGAUGGACUCGCGGCUUAUCAGCUUGUUGGUGGGGUAGUGGCUUACCAAGGCUUUGACGGGUAGCCGGCCUGAGAGGGUGACCGGCCACAUUGGGACUGAGAUACGGCCCAGACUCCUACGGGAGGCAGCAGUGGGGAAUAUUGCACAAUGGGCGGAAGCCUGAUGCAGCAACGCCGCGUGCGGGAUGACGGCCUUCGGGUUGUAAACCGCUUUCGCCUGUGACGAAGCGUGAGUGACGGUAAUGGGUAAAGAAGCACCGGCUAACUACGUG